GACGAACGCUGGCGGCGUGCUUAACACAUGCAAGUCGAACGGAAAGGCCCUGCUUUUGUGGGGUGCUCGAGUGGCGAACGGGUGAGUAACACGUGAGUAACCUGCCCUUGACUUUGGGAUAACUUCAGGAAACUGGGGCUAAUACCGGAUAGGAGCUCCUGCUGCAUGGUGGGGGUUGGAAAGUUUCGGCGGUUGGGGAUGGACUCGCGGCUUAUCAGCUUGUUGGUGGGGUAGUGGCUUACCAAGGCUUUGACGGGUAGCCGGCCUGAGAGGGUUACCGGCCACAUUGGGACUGAGAUACGGCCCAGAAUGCUACGGGAGGCAGCAGUGGGGAAUAUUGCACAAUGGGAGGAAGCCUGAUGCAGCAACGCCGCGUGCGGGAUGACGGCCUUCGGGUUGUAAACCGCUUUCGCCUGUGACGAAGAGUGAGUGACGGUAAUGGGUAAAGAAGCACCGGCUAACUACGUG
rnacentral:rRNA from 1 species